rnacentral:tRNA from 1 species
GUCGAAGUGGCCGAGAGGUUUAAGGCGCCAGACUCUACGAUGUUAAAGUGGGUUUGAAUCCCACCUCCAACA